rnacentral:rRNA from 1 species
UGGGGAAUAUUGCACAAUGGGCGCAAGCCUGAUGCAGCCAUGCCGCGUGUAUGAAGAAGGCCUUCGGGUUGUAAAGUACUUUCAGCGGGGAGGAAGGCGAUAAGGUUAAUAACCUUGUCGAUUGACGUUACCCGCAGAAGAAGCACCGGCUAACUCCGUUCCAGCAGCCGCGGUAAUACGGAGGGUGCAAGCGUUAAUCGGAAUUACUGGGCGUAAAGCGCACGCAGGCGGUCUGUCAAGUCGGAUGUGAAAUCCCCGGGCUCAACCUGGGAACUGCAUUCGAAACUGGCAGGCUAGAGUCUUGUAGAGGGGGGUAGAAUUCCAGGUGUAGCGGUGAAAUGCGUAGAGAUCUGGAGGAAUACCGGUGGCGAAGGCGGCCCCCUGGACAAAGACUGACGCUCAGGUGCGAAAGCGUGGGGAGCAAACA